CAAUGGCAUUCUCUGUUGUGCCCGCCAACAGACGGGACAGGGUUUCCCACUGGGUCCUUUUGCCUCCUUCUUUGGGCACCGCAGGUCUGGGCUGACCUGAGCUCAAACCCCAGUUCAGGCACCGCCUCCGUCCUGAGACAGGAAGUCUCUGGGAGUCCGGUGUGGGUCCGAGGGUGAUGUCCCCACAUGCCGGGAGGCGGCUCUGCCCAGCCGUCUUCCCCACGCUCCUGACAGCUCUGUGGCUGGGCCCUGGCCACAGCGUCUUCAAGGAGGAGAAAGCAGAGGCCCAGAGAGGCUGAGUGCCUGCCCAAGUCACAGAGGCACUGGGGAUGAGCCACGAGGGCUGAGGCCACAGGACACCGCCAGCCGCCACACCCUGUACCACAGGAGCACCCUGGUGCCAGCUAGGCCCAGGGGCCCCGCGUGACACGGGGCAUGAGGGACGCACGGUCAUUUCCGUUUCAUUUCUGCCAUCCUGGCUGCCUUGAUCCUGAACUGAUUCCAAGCGCUGACUUGCUCUGGUCAUUUUGACCCAGGGAACCAGACGUCGCACAGCGGCAGAGGGGGUGACAGACGGCCCUGCACCUGAGGCCCUCCGCAGCCCGAGGAAGGCGUCCCACCUAUCCCAGGAGGCACAGGGCCGGACACGGAGCUGCUUGGGGAGGACACGGAAGCCCCGCCGAGCGUCCUGGGACCUGAGAGUCACCCCGGGCACUGAGUUCCCACUGACUUCAAAGCCUCCUCGCCCUCAGGGCUCCCGGGGGACAAGGGCUCAGGAAGGCGGCCACUGGCUGUCAGACGCGGGCCGCGAGGCCACUUUGGUCUCAGCCCUGCUGGCUGCUGACGGAACAGCCUGGCCUGGCCAGGGCCGGAGAGGCUGGGAACCAGGCAGCGUCUCCGUCUAGGGUCCCAGGAGCAGCCAGAAACCACGUACAGAGUGAGCUGGGCCCAGAAGGCAAAGGCUCAGAGGCCAGGAC
rnacentral:lncRNA from 1 species